rnacentral:rRNA from 1 species
AUGCUCCCGCUCGCCGCCGCAAGGGCCUGCCUUUCCUCCCCGACGCCGCCAUCGAGACCCCAAAUCCUAGCAGCGCCUCCCUCCCCCCUUCCCCGUCACCGCUCCACCGCCACGCUGCCCAGGCCCGCCAGGAUCCCCCUCAUCCACCCGCUCGGGGCUGGUGCGCCGGGUGCGUCCUCGCAGCCCGCGAGGGACCAGGUGAUCGACUUCGGCAAGCACAAGGGCCAGAUGUUGGGCACGCUGUCGCCGUCCUACCUGCGCUGGGUGGUCGCGGAGCUCGACUACGGGGACAUCCUGGUCUGGGUGCGCCUGGCGCGCGAGGUGCUCGAUGACCCCGUCUACGUCGACCACGUCGAGUGGGAGCACGCGCACCGCUUCCUUCGCGGCGACUCCAAGUUCGACUAAGUCUACGACGACGUCGACGGCGACGGGCCCCUCCAGGAGAUGGCCGAGCGCUUCGGCUGGGAUGUCUCCGACGAGGACGGCUAGGGCCGCCUCGACUUCGGCCUCUCGACCUCCUAUGGCGGCCGCAUCCUGAGGGAGGCCGACCGGCGCCAGAGCACCGGCAGCGGCAGCAAGAGAUCCCCCCGCAGCGGCGGCGCCCUGUUCGACACCGGGGCGGCCGACCCGGACGGGCCGAGGGGGAAGAGGGACGAGAGGAGGGUGCUGAUGCGGACGAGGAGGCAGGAGCAGGUGAGGACGGCGAAACUGGAUGUGCUCGGCGUGAACUCCAGCGCGAAAUGA